rnacentral:lncRNA from 1 species
AAGAUAAUUUUUUAAAAUUGAAUCAAACAAUUUGAACGUGUGAAAAGUAUUGGCAUCGAAAAAUGUAAAAUUUUUUAGAUUACAACUAUAAAUGAAAAAACUGCAAAGUUUUAACGAUAUUAACCGAUGAAAUUUUGCGCAAAAAAAAAUAUAUUUUAAAUUUCUUUUCCUCUAGUCAAUAAUAAUUCUUUUCUUUUUUUUUUACAUAAUUUUUCAAAUUGCUCGAUCCAAACUUAAAAGAACCCCCCUUUUUACAUCUUUUUAAACAGCACACCGAAUACUAUAACCCAUCGCACACAAAAAUAUACUUCACACAUAGACGACUUCCCCUCACUACUUUAUCGAUUGCGCAUCGAUGAUGCACGGUGUACUCCACAACGAUCAAAACUGGUCGCGUCCGGGGAAAAUGCGUAAACGAGGAUAAACGAGGCAGGUAUACAUAAAGCUGAUAAUAAGAAGGAAGGGAGUGGUGAAAAUUAUCGAAGCGUCGAAGGGAUGGUGGUUGGAAGCGGAUCGUCCUUAAGGGCAUGGCACGCGAGCCAUCGUGGUCGAUAAAUUACCGUGGUCUCGCCGCGGUGUUUCCGCGUGACACGAAAGCCUCUUUGCCGAGGGAAAGAAGGUUGUUGGCGGAGCGAAAGGAGGAGGAAACGCGGAGGAAAGGAGGAAAGGACGCGGCAACGGAUAAAAGUCGCCAUGCGACACAGAAGCAGUCCGCGAUGGUGUUGGCGCGCGUUUGCCGAGUGAUGCAUUGGUACCGGCAAGUGAUAUAUGCUUAUGGGGCAUGCCGGAGUAUCCGGACAUCACGCGCACACGCAUGCGCGAGAGACCGUGUAAGAGAUACACGUGUGCCCGGCCAUGGCGUGUUCAUUAUGCACUCCGGCAAAUCAUAAAGCAGACGGGAGGGAAAAAGAGAUUCGAGACGAAUUUUCACAUCUGGACUAGUGUUCUUCGAGAUGGAGUGCGAGGAUGAGAAUUUUAUAUGGUUCGAGUUAAGGGAUAAAGUUGGUUCAACGAUAAGUUAUUUGAAUAAUGUGUUCGAACUUUGGUUAAUUGCAGCGAACGACGAGGUUAGGUGUCAACUUAUACGGUAGAUUUUUGUAUAAAUACGUUGUAAUGAAUUCUAUGGAAAAUACGACAAUUUUUAUAAUAAUAUAGAGUAAUACGUUUGAUUAUUGUCAACUUUUUUCUCUUUAACGUACGUCAAAUAAAAAUAAAAAUGAUAGCAAAUGUCCAAGCCCGGUCUGAACACGACGAAGGAAUGGUGGAGAACCCACACGCGUGAGUGGAUUUUUCCAAUCGAUAUGAUUUAAAUGGCGUUUUAAGAAAGCUGAAGACCACGGGGGAAAAACGGACGAGCCGGUGUUCGACUCAAAUUGUAAUUUAUACGGCUAUUACCGUGCCGCACGUUCGCCAUUAUAAAUUGUCGCGCUGUAUCUGCCGGCGUUCUUAUUUAUAGUUCCGUAAAUAAAUACCCGAGAUAAUGUGCCGCGGCCGGCCAGUGUAUUUGCGAUUCUAAUAAGUGUGCAUUUAACGCGGUGUAUUCGGGUAAACCGCGAAUGACGCAUUGCGAGGGUAAUUAAGCAAUUAAGGGGAUACAAUGUUGUUGUCGCUCGAGGACAAGAAUGAAUGUUCGCAUACCCUCCUGGAAUUGUAAUAACUCGUAGAGAGAUCUUUCUUUUAGAAUGUAAGUCUGUAAAUAUUUUAUAUUUUAUCAAAUAUACAUAUCGUUGAUUGUCAAUAAGCGUUAUUUCUUUUUUUUUUUUUUAAAUUUGAAAGAAAAAAAUUUCACAAAUCCGACGUGUAACAUGUUUGUCCGUCAAGAUGUAUAUCCGUGUACGUGUAUCUGGUCAUUUCGCAGAGCGCGUAUUAACACUGGCAAUUCAACAGUGUAGUAAUUAAACGGCAAAAUGAACAGAGAGAGUGAAACGAGUGCGGAAUACUCGGCAACAGAGUGGUUUCAUUGCGAGAGCGCGUGUCCUUUUUUUUUUUCUUUUUUCUUUUCGGAGGAAAAAGGAGUGUAUCCUCUCAUUCCAAUUUGAAAAUCCACCCGUGGUGGUUGUCCACGUGUCUGUUCUAACUGAUUCAUACGCGCGCAUUUGCAUUACGGACGCGUCCCCGUCGAGCGACACGACACGUUAUUCGAAACGUGUUGCAUUAUUCUAAUCAAGAUCCCUAAUACCGACGCUGGUCUUUGCUUUUAUUCGCACGUGGGCAAUGCGGCUCGUUUGUACUCGUAAUGAGCCCGAUUGGGUGUUAUACGUCGCCGUGGUUGAUUCUACGGACGGUUUCGAACGAUCUUUUCAUUCGAACAAAUAAAUCUCUUCUCUUCCUCGAUCAGAAUUAUUAUCUAAUUAUUAUCUCGUCGAAUUAUCAUCACAUUUUAUUAUUGUAAAAGUUAAUAAACUUAUCUUCGGUCGGUAUAUCCGUUUAAAGAUACAAUUGUUACUGUAAAAGUUAAUAAACUUAUCUUCGGUCGGUAUAUCAGUUUAAAGACGCAAUUGUUAUAAUCGUAUAAUUACAAUUAAUUAAUAACUUGGUUAGAUCGUUAUUUGUUUAUAAAAUAUAAUUCACGAUAAAAUCAUAUGUAAAAAAUAUACGAUCAAGUUAAAAAGUCAAAAUUGUCUCAUAGAAAUUUCUAAAUCGAAACAAUUCGCAAGUUGGAACAAGUUGGAUAAUUUACGACACGCCUAUCAAACGCGUAUGAUUAAGAAGAUCGAAUUCACUGCUUGGUAAAGUGCUUCUGUCUAACAUUAUACGAAACAACAUCAAUUCCCUCUUUCGAACUGUUCCUGAACAUCGUAGAUCCAUUAAUCACCACUUAGAAGUCAUUUUUCAAUACGCAUCGAUCAAUUUAUUGAUAGCAGCAAGAUCGAUACGCGAUCGCCGCCUCCGAUAAGUCUCGUCGACAAGGGCGAGGAAUUCUGAUUUAUACUGGCGACCCUACAGCACGGUGAUCGAGGAGGAACGGAGGUGGCAGAGGGACGGACGAAGAGAGAAGAAGCGUCGAACGUGGCAAGAGCAAGGGGAAAAAUAGGAAAGCGCAGAAGGCGGCGGCAGCAGCUGAAGAAGGAGGAAGUCGAGACACGCGUGUAACAAGCGUCGUUGGCAUUAAUUUAGAAUGAGCUCUACGACCCUAUGCAAAUCUCUCGUGUACAGGAAAUCCUAAGAAGCCGGCCAGACUAUGAAACGUCGCCUCUCUCUCUCUGCUAAUCCACACCGUUUUCUUCCAACCGCGGCAUGCUUGAAAUUACCAUCAACCAGCAUACGACUUAUUCCUCGGCCUCCGACAACACGUUACUCCUCCUUCUUUUAAGUUAUGACACCUGAACUCUUGCCAACGUUUAAUAUCCCGCAUCUUGCGAUAUCAACACUUCCGUCUUUAGCUAAGACUAACUUAUGGCUAUGAUGAAUCGAAUUAUUCGCCGCUACUUCUAUAAGCGUGUUCAGUAAUCAACGAUUUUGCUGUAAACAUUGUCGAUAAAGAUAAAUUAAUUGAACAAAAAAGAAAAAAAAAAAAGGAAAAAAAGAAUUGCGUGAAUGGUAAGCGUGAAGAAGAUGAAAAGUUAAGAGGAAGAAUUAGUAAUUUCAUGGCGCUAUCGAGUUGUUAUAAUGACCGCGUAUAAUUCAAGA